AUCUAUGACCCUAGCACCCUGAAUAUGUCUGAUCUCGUCUGAUCUCUGAAGUUAAGCAGGGUCAGGCUUGGUUAGUACUUGGGUGGGAGAAAACACUUUAUGGACA
rnacentral:rRNA from 1 species